UUUGAAGCAUCAAAUGAGGGUUUUCUUGGUUGAUGCUUACUGUUAGUAGCUUCAGUUGUGACCCUUCUGGGGUUUUCUACUGCACAAGAUAAAUUGUAGCAUUUUAGCUACUUCCUAGCAUAGAAAUCAGCAUUGAAAGUAUUGAUUAUGUAUCAUUCCCGCAACAUAUUUCAAUUCACAUAAAGCCAAAACUCUAUAAGAUGCCUUAUUCUUGGACAAAUAAAUGCCAAGGCAACCUUUUGUUAAAUUUGUCAUUAAAUAUUUAUACAAUUUUAAAGAAGUCUGCGUAAGAAGAAUGUCAUAAUGAUCUCUCAAAAGCAAUAUUUUUCUGAUAAAAUGUAUAGAAAAACCAGCUGGUUCAAACCCGAGUUCAAAAUAAGGCUCAAUCCACUCCCAACAUCACCAAAAGUAACCCAAAAGUCAUUGACAAGUUAUUGGUACUUUCAUUUGUAGAAGAACAUGUUCCGAUGUGAGACUAGGGUAUGACAAUAUUCUUCAUAAGAAAUCAAUUGCAUAAUUUUAUGUUAAGAGGGCUCGAUUUAGCAUGUAUGUCACAAGCUAAGAUGAAUAAAUAAAGCUAUAAAAACAAGAAGAGGCUUGCUACAUAUGACAACAAAUUUAUAAAGAUAUUAAAUACCAACGUAUGUGCGUACAUGUGAUAGGUAGGAAUUAAGAACGACCCACCUUAAUUUAUUCUAUUUUCUCUCUUCGACUUUCAUAUUAGUUGCAAUUCAAUUCCGUCAUAAAUUUGUCGACAUAUAAAUCAUUUCCCAAACAAGAAUAACUCAAGAUGUUGCUUUCAGCAACCAACAUUCCUCUCAAAGCUGGCAGAUACAUAUUAAGAAAAAACAUGUAAAUAGCAAAAUAGCAUUCUAAAACCCUCUAAAUCAAAUUUAAACUGACAAUAUAUUCUUCUGCAUAAUUCAUACAACUAGUUUCACAGUAAUAUAUACCGCAUCCUGUCCUAAAAACAUGGCACUCUUUUUCUUACUAGACAAUGGAUUGUGUAAAAAAAAAUUAAUUGCAAUGUAGAUACUCCAUGAUAACUAGUCACUUGCAAUCAUAUACAAAAGGCAAAUGUACUUACCAUGCCGCCGUUGUGGAGGGGGAGGAGGUGCAGCUGCCGGCAUCAAAUUCCUCGAACUUGCACUCUUUAUCCUUCUAGAUGCUUUAUUUUCACGGGAUGAAAAACAUGGAAAACAACCCAUGUUUUGAGUCCAAGAAAUCCAACCAAAUGCAGAUUUUG
rnacentral:lncRNA from 1 species